AUUGAACGCUGGCGGCAUGCCUUACACAUGCAAGUCGAACGGCAGCACGGGAGCAAUCCUGGUGGCGAGUGGCGAACGGGUGAGUAAAGUAUCGGAACGUGCCCAGUCGUGGGGGAUAACGUAGCGAAAGUUACGCUAAUACCGCAUACGAUCUAUGGAUGAAAGCGGGGGAUCGCAAGACCUUGCGCGAUUGGAGCGGCCGAUAUCAGAUUAGGUAGUUGGUGGGGUAAAGGCUCACCAAGCCGACGAUCUGUAGCUGGUCUGAGAGGACGACCAGCCACACUGUGACUGAGACACGGCCCAGACUCCUACGGGAGGCAGCAGUGGGGAAUUUUGGACAAUGGGCGCAAGCCUGAUCCAGCCAUGCCGCGUGCAGGAUGAGGGCCUUCGGGUUGUAAACUGCUUUUGUACGGAACGAAAAGGUUUGACUUAAUACGUUGGACUCAUGACGGUACCGUAAGAAUAAGCACCGGCUAACUACGUGCCAGCAGCCGCCGUAA
rnacentral:rRNA from 1 species